rnacentral:rRNA from 1 species
GAUGAACGCUGGCGGCGUGCCUAAUACAUGCAAGUCGAGCGAACAGAUGAGGAGCUUGCUCCUCUGACGUUAGCGGCGGACGGGUGAGUAACGCGUGGAUAACCUACCUAUAAGACUGGGAUAACUUCGGGAAACCGGAGCUAAUACCGGAUAAUAUAUUGAACCGCGUGGUUCAAUAGUGAAAGACGGUUUUGCUGUCACUUAUAGAUGGAUCCGCGCCGCAUUAGCUAGUUGGUAAGGUAACGGCUUACCAAGGCAACGAUGCGUAGCCGACCUGAGAGGGUGAUCGGCCACACUGGAACUGAGACACGGUCCAGACUCCUACGGGAGGCAGCAAUAGGGAAUCUUCCGCAAUGGGCGAAAGCCCGACGGAGCAACGCCGCGUGAGUGAUGAAGGUCUUCGGAUCGUAAAACUCUGUUAUUAGGGAAGAACAAAUGUGUAAGUAACUAUGCACGUCUUGACGGUACCUAAUCAGAAAGCCACGGCUAACUACGUG